GAGCAUGGGGACCUGUCCCAGGGAAUGGGAGAACUUAAGCUCCACAUUGGCCAGAGUCUUUGUAGGGUUUAUUUGCUGAUAUAACCCAAGCACUGGAACAGUGUCUAACACAGAGUAGGAGCUCAGAAGACAUUUACUGAAGAAUGACUUCUGUCCCCAUGGAACUUAAGAGUCUACCAAGGCAGCCAGAUAAACCCAUUAUUCUAAAUAGUGCACCUGCGAACGACCUGACAUCAAGGAAUGGAUUACGCACAUUUCUGCAUUCCUGGCCAGCAGACUACUGUGGAUGUGGCGCACAGGAAGUACUGAGAUGAAGGAUAAGCACAAAUUGCACGUGCAGAGUCAGAGAGGUGGGAGCACGAAUGCCCGGCCAGGGUAUGUGAUAUGGUACAGG